AACCAAACCGCUGAUCCUACUCUCU
rnacentral:piRNA from 1 species